rnacentral:lncRNA from 1 species
AUGAGAGGUAGCUCAAGUUCGGAUGGUAGCCUACAGACAGAAAGUCGCCCGCUAUUACAAUUCCCGGGUCAAGAAUAAAGUCUUUAGAGCAGGAGAUCUAGUACUUCGACGAGCCACUAUCUCGCAACCUCAGGAUCGAGGGAAGCUCGCCCCAAAUUGGGAAGGCCCGUAUGAAGUCAAAGAAGUAGUCCGGUCCGAAACUUAUUACCUC